rnacentral:lncRNA from 1 species
CAAAGCAAAAAUGUAGGGAAUAUAUUAGAGGCCUAAAUUAAAAAGUACCAUAAUAAUAACUGAUAUAAAACAUGGGGAGAAAGUUUAGCAUAAAGCAUAUAGUAAUACUCUAAUUAGUUAAAAAAAUAUUACAUUCCAAUUUUUGGGUAUCGUUAAAAGACCGGAAGGGUUUUUGUUUGUUGGGCCCAUAAACGUACCGCUUUAUAACUCCUACCCACCAAAACGAUACGUAUAGCUUAAUAACUCCUACCCAACAAAACGAUGCGUACAGCGUAUUCCAUUAGGUCAUCUUCUUCGCGUUUACCACCUGGUGCUGCCCCCGCAAGCUCGUGGAGCAGAUCCAGCCAAAUCUUCUUCGCUUAGUUUACCACAUGGUGCCGCCUAAAGCUCUUGGAAAUGAAGGACUCGCCCAGGCGCCCUGACCCACCCAGGCCACCCCUAGGCGCCGCCUAGGCAAAUUUUUCGAACACUAGCAGCAUAUGCAUGUGUAUGAUACUAAAAAAUUAGUUGGUAGGAAAUGGAAGGUGAUGAAUGAUUCUGACACAGAAAAUGUACCACAUGAAUAUAAAUUAAUGCAAAAAUAUUUCCUAGGCAGAGUGAUACAGAACUCGUCACCAGGGACGGAGGCAGGCAGAGCUGGAAUGUGUUGAAGUUUCUAUAUAAUAGUAGAUUUCUUGCACACAAAGUAUAUGAGACAAAGUUUUAGAGAGAAAGAGAGAGGGAGAGAAUCUGUUUGGCAGAUUGUAA